rnacentral:RNase_P_RNA from 1 species
AUGGUCGGCCAGGCAGCCGCUCUCCGCCUUUGGCGGAGGGAGGAAAGUCCGAACACCAUAGGGCAAGGUGCCCUGGGAUAACCAGGGGUCCCGCGGGCAAUAUCCCGCGAGAACGGAUCGUGUCACAGAAAACACACAUCUGCCCCGCCUCGGGCGGAGCAGAGAAAGGUGAAAUGGUGGUGUAAGAGACCACCGCGUCGGCAGUAAUGCCGGCGGUCCCGCUCCGAGGGAAUCCCUUCGGGAAAAGGGAUCCCGACGAAACCGAUGGUUGAGUCGGGACAGGACAAACCCCACCUGGUGCAAGACCAAGUAAGUCCCGUUCUCCGCCUCCGGCGGAGAAAGAGCUGCCCGCUCAAUCCUCUUCGGAGGGACUGGACGGGUAGGUCGCUCAGAGAAAUGGCUGCCUCGUUCCGUUCUCCGGGACGGGAUCAGACAGAAUUCGGCUUAUCGACCGACCAUUACC